UAUGUGAUCGUCUCUCGCAUAUCAAUAAGCGGAGGAAAAGAAACUAACAAGGAUUCCCCUAGUAACGGCGAGUGAAGCGGGAAGAGCUCAAAUUUGAAAUCUUAAAGGGUUUCCCUUUACGAAUUGUAGUUUAAAGAAGUGUUUUCUGUUGAGGUUUUGGUAAAAGUUCUUUGGAAUAGGACAUCAUAGAGGGUGAGAAUCCCGUAUUUGACCUUUACUUUCAACUUUGUGAUACACUUUCAAAGAGUCGGAUUGUUUGGGAAUGCAGUCCAAAAUGGGUGGUAAAUUUCAUCUAAAGCUAAAUAUUGGCGAGAGACCGAUAGCGAACAAGUACCGUGAGGGAAAGAUGAAAAGAACUUUGAAAAGAGAGUUAAACAGUACGUGAAAUUGUCAAAAGGGAAGCGUUUGACACCAGUGUUGUUUUUCUGAAAAUCAAUUAAAGAACUGUUUAUGCUAAGCUGUUUAGACUUUAUCAGCUAUCUGUUUAGUUUUGAGCUUUUCUUUAAUGCACUUUUCAGUUAACAAGUCAACAUCAAUUUCUUUUGCUGUAAAAAAGCUUGAGGAAGGUGGCUUGAGAUUCGUCUUAAGUGUUUAUAGCCUCUUGCCUAUGCAGUCGGAGAGAUUGAGGUCUGCAGCGUAGAUCCUUCGGGGCUAAAUGCAUUUGUGCUAAGUUAUAGCAUUUUAUAGACAACUUGUUGACUAUGAUUUGUCUUGUAGCUUACUCGCUUAUGUUAUUUUACCUACGCUUAGGAUGUUGAAGACUCUACAGAGAU
rnacentral:rRNA from 1 species